AAUAUUGGACAAUGGGGGAAACCCUGAUCCAGCCAUGCCGAGUGUGUGAAGAAGGUCUUUGGAUUGUAAAGCACUUUAAGUUGGGAGGAUGGGCGUCAAGCUAAUACCUUGAUGUAUUGACGUUACCAACAGAAUAAGCACCGGCUAACUUGGUGCCAUCAGCCGCGGUAAUACAGAGGCUGCAAGCGUUAAUCGGAAUUACUGGGCGUAAAGCGCGCGUAGGUUGUUCAGUAAGAUGGGUGUGAAGUCCCCGGGCUUAACCUGGGAACUGCUUUCAUACCUGCUGGGCUAGAGUACGGUAGAUGGUAGUGGAAUUUCCUGUGUAGCGGUGAAAUGCGUAGAUAUAGGAAGGAACACCAGUGGCGAAGGCGACUACCUGGACUGAUACUGACACUGAGGUGCGAAAGCGUGGGGAGCAAAC
rnacentral:rRNA from 1 species